CCGGGGUGUCCGGGAGGCGCGCCCGGGGCGCAGGAGCAGGGACCCCGCCGCGCGGACCGGAGCCCGGGAGGCGCGGGGCAGAGCUGAGCAAGGCUCAGAGGGAGGAUCGGACUCGCUUCGCGGACGCUCUCGGAGCCCCCAGCCCGGGCAGGGGUGUGGAAGGUGCCGGAGUUGGUCUGGAAGUGCUGAGAUGCGUGGACCCGCUGGCUGCGCGCUCCUGCUCCUCCUCCUCGCCGCUCCGCCGCCUCCUCCGAUCCCGCCGGCGGCCGCCGCUGCCUGGUCGCGGGCCGGGCGGCUGGGGUGCGAGCGGUGAUGGUGGUGCCGCCGCCGCUGCCGCUGCGCUGGCCGCUGUGGCUGUCCGACGGGCCCUCUCCCUUCUCUCCAAAGGCUACUUCAUUGCGCUCCAACGAUCUAUAUAUUCCGG
rnacentral:lncRNA from 1 species